UUCGCAAUGCCCGAAAGGGUGACAAUGCGACGCCGCGUGUGCGAUGAAGGCCUUCGGGUCGUAAAGCACUGUCAGCUGGGAGGAAUCUCUGGAGGCUUAAUAAGCUUGCAGGGUGACAGUACCAGCAGAGGAAGCCACGGCUAACUCCGUGCCAGCAGCCGCGGUAAUACGGAGGUGGCAGGCGUUACUCGGAUUGAUUGGGUGUAAAGGGCAUGUAGGUGGCAUGCUAAGUCAAAUGUGAAAUCCCUUGGCUUAACCAAGGAACUGCAUUUGAAACUAGCAUGCUUGAGUGACAGAGAGGAAAGCGGAAUUCCCGGUGUAACAGUGAAAUGUGUAGAUAUCGGGAGGAACACCGGUGGCGAAGGCGGCUUUCUGGCUGUCCACUGACACUGAAAGUGCGAAAGCUAGGGGAGCAAACAGGAUUAGAUACCCUGGUAGUCCUAGCCGUAAACGAUGGGCACUAAGUAGAGGGGUUUU
rnacentral:rRNA from 1 species